ACUACGUAACUUUUCCACCUUAAUAUCAUAUUUCCAGAGUCAUUGUGAUGGUACAUCAACUUCCAACAGGUUUAAUGACACCUCUGUCAUGAUCUGAGGGGGUCUGUAUCGCUUUCACUGGCACUAUGUAACUUUGAGGAGCAUGGUAGGAACCCUGCCACACUAAAAAACUACAAAUUUUACGACUUUGACUGCUUUACGGCACAUACGUCACUUCCCCCUCCUUCCCGAUUCGUAGUCGAGACAAAAAUGGGCGGGGCUUGGAGCGCAGAGGCAGAGCUCAGCAGAAGCUGGUGUUGAGCUAAACGAGGAGCUGGUAUCAUGGCCGAAGCAGCGAAAAAAACGAAGAAAAUAAAAGUUUUAACGGAGCGGAGGAGGCGAAAAAAAGAAAGCGGGAGAGUAACAAGCUAAAUGCCCGGUGGAGAAUAAACAUUGGCCCGGCGUUCUCUCGCUACAAGCCCUUGUAGCGCCGUCGUCUUGGACGAGAUGGUUGAAGGAUGUAAAGACGUUCAUCACCUCCAGGACUACAUCAGAUCUGGAAAACUUCCAGAAUCACAUCCUCAUGCAGGGAAGAGUUCUCCUACACUCCAGCAGUGAAUCGCACGCGGACUCUCCCAGCACGAAACAAGGAUGGACACAAGAUGCUACUGCUACUAUAGUCAUUGUAUUUAUUUACAGUAACUUCUUACACUGUUUCAUAGUUCAGUUUUUAUUAUCAGUUCAUUAUUUUUAGUUUAUUUUUCUACUACUCUAUUUACACUUGUUUACUUUAUUCACAGUAAUUUAUCCUGUCAUACAGUUGUUCAUUACUGCUACUGUGAUACAGAUUACUUAUUGUUUAUAAUAAGUAUGUAUGGGAUAACUGCUGUCACUAUGCAAAUGACAAAGUUCAAGAAUGUUCUAUUUUCUGAAAGGUGUGUAAAUAAAAGUCUGUCUUGUUUUGCACAAAUGUCUUUAUUUUAAACACACAAAAACAACU